GUUCCGAUAGCUCAGCAGGGAGAGCGCCGCCCCGACAAGGCGGAGGCCGCCGGUUCGACCCCGGCUCGGAACA
rnacentral:tRNA from 1 species